GACAGAGGGGGGCAAGCGUUGCUCGGAAUUACUGGGCGUAAAGGGCGCGUAGGCGGGAUGGCAAGUCGGUCGUGAAAUCCUUCGGCUCAACCGAAGAACGUCGAUCGAUACUGCUGUUCUUGGGGGGUUGCAGAGGAGACUGGAAUUCCCGGUGUAGCGGUGAAAUGUGUAGAGAUCGGGAGGAACACCGGUGGCGAAGGCGGGUCUCUGGGCAAUUCCUGACGCUGAGGCGCGAAAGCGUGGGGAGCAAACGGG
rnacentral:rRNA from 1 species